CGUGUGCCUCCGCCGGGCAUACAGAAAGGCCAAAACAGCCCCUGCCUGCGAGCCUGUGCAGGAUAAGCUGGAGAGAAGCUACAGAAGGCUUCCUCUAGGUAGAAGCUCUAGGUCUGAGAUGACUGUAGAGGAAAGAGAGAGAAAGAACAGAAGAAUUUUUCUGGUGAGAAUGGUUCUUACUAUUUUAUAGUAAAGAGACCUUGUUCCUGUUGUGGCUGGAGAGAAAAUGGAGAAGACAGAGAGAUGGAAGAUGGAGAGGUUUUCUGAUGCAGCUGUUUUCACCCUCACCUUGUGAAGAGGAUUGUGGAAAACAGCCUGGAUUUGAUAUCUUGAGACA
rnacentral:lncRNA from 1 species